rnacentral:tRNA from 1 species
GGAGGAAUGGCUGAGAGGUUUAAAGCGUUGGUUUGCUAAAUCAAUGUCGCGCUCCGCGCGACCAUGGGUUCAAAUCCCAUUUCCUCCG